UACGAAGGGACCAAGCGUUGUUCGGAUUUACUGGGCGUAAAGGGCGCGUAGGCGGCUUAACAAGUCACUUGUGAAAUCUCCGGGCUUAACCCGGAGCGGUCAAGUGAUACUGUCGUGCUAGAGUGCAGAAGGGGCAACUGGAAUUCUCGGUGUAGCGGUGAAAUGCGUAGAUAUCGAGAGGAACACCUGCGGCGAAGGCGGGUUGCUGGGCUGACACUGACGCUGAGGCGCGAAAGCUAGGGGAGCGAACGGG
rnacentral:rRNA from 1 species